GUGAGAAAACUUCUGUUUAUGCAGCCCAGUCUGUGACACUUUGUUCUGGCAGCCCUAGGGCACUAAGAUACUGGCUGUGAUUAUUUCGUCACUUCAACCGCCUGUAUCAUUGGCCUGAAGGGAGAAUAGGCGCCCCCGCAAGGAUCUCUGCAAAGAUAUUACUUCUCAAGUCUGAAAAGGGACCUGAGGUUUUGCUGCUUUUCUGUAUCCUCCCAACUCACUCUUGAAUUAGUGUUGGAUACCUUCUCUCGUUUCUCUGCAUCACAGGUCUGGGAUAUUGGCUGUCCCACUACCUUGGGUUCAGGUACACAGAAGCUCAUGGCAUUUCUCCUGGAUCUCAGAACUGGAAGUGAAUGCCAAGGCAGGUCUGCUUGUAGAUGAGCAGGAGGAGAAGGAGUACCUUCUCUCACCUUAGUGAGAGAGACUUCGGCUUCAAGGUCUGCUUGGGAGCUUUAUUUGUGUUCCCUGACGUUUGAGGGGCAGAGAGUACUGGGGUCUGAAACAUGCCUGAGAAGUUUAAUAGCAAAGGUUACAAUCUGUGCCUGAAGCAGUGGAAGCGAAGAAGCCAGGGCUGUCCUGGGAGCAAGCUGCUCUGCCACCGCUACUUGGGCACAGAGGAGUGCAUUUUCCCAAGGACCAGUGGACCCAUAGGAUCUUUCGGAAGAACUAUGUCCAGGAGAAUGCCUGGAUGUGGAGCUGGGGCCAAUGUGACCCACCAGAGUGGUGGACCAUACCUUGUCCAGGAAAGAAAGGCAACAGAAUCCCAGAACCUCCAACUGCCAUAUCACUUGGGAGCUGUGAAGAACUUGAUGGUUCAUUAUUGCCAAUUCCUACCUGGAAGCCCACAUUCUUCUCCUGUGAG
rnacentral:lncRNA from 1 species